rnacentral:rRNA from 1 species
CGGUAGACGACCGGGUUGAUAGGCCGGAGGUGGAAGCGCGGUAACGUGUGGAGCUGACCGGUACUAAUAGGCCGAGGACUUGACCAC